GACGAACGCUGGCGGCAUGCCUAAUACAUGCAAGUCGAGCGAACAGACGAGGAGCUUGCUCCUUUGACGUUAGCGGCGGACGGGUGAGUAACACGUAGGUAACCUACCUAUAAGACUGGGAUAACUUCGGGAAACCGGAGCUAAUACCGGAUAAUAUUUCGAACCGCAUGGUUCGAUAGUGAAAGAUGGCUUUGCUAUCACUUAUAGAUGGACCUGCGCCGAAUUAGCUAGUUGGUAGGGUAGCGGCUUACCAAGGCAACGAUACGUAGCCGACCUGAGAGGGUGAUCGGCCACACUGGAACUGAGACACGGUCCAGACUCCUACGGGAGGCAGCAGUAGGGAAUCUUCCGCAAUGGGCGAAAGCCUGACGGAGCAACGCCGCGUGAGUGAUGAAGGUCUUCGGAUCGUAAAACUCUGUUAUUAGGGAAGAACAAACGUGUAAGUAACUGUGCACGUCUUGACGGUACCUAAUCAGAAAGCCACGGCUAACUACGUGCCAGCAGCCGCCGUAA
rnacentral:rRNA from 1 species